UAAAGAUUGAAGAACGUCCUGCUG
rnacentral:siRNA from 1 species